CCCUUCGCGGGAGACAGAGCUGCUCCCACGCUCCUUUUGGAACUUCAGUUUGUUUUGUUGUUUUGUUUGGGUUUUUUUAAACCCCAUUGGUUAAAAAAAAAAAGUCCAAACAGAAUUAAUUGUCGCGAACUCCAUGAGCACGCUUAGAGCCAAGUGUUACCGACACUCUCACGCCUCACAGCAUCGAAACGCCACCAGUGACAGGACUGGAACUCCUCCAGCAUACACAAACUGGAGUCCAGCUGCCUGGAGUCAAAUGUAAGCUGAGAGCGUGGGACAGACGGAGGAAAUGCAGCUGGGAGGACUGGAACUCAGAAUAACAUGGAACAACUAACAGGAAUUGGCUUGAAACUAACAAAUGCCCUGAUAGAAAACAGUAGGAUAACUAAAGCAUUAUUUUAGCAGCUGGAAGUGUGGAGGACCAGGGAAAGCUGAUGACAGGAAAGCUGUCCUGGGGUGACGUUAUGAUGCUUGUAUAUCCCCAUUCAUCUGUUCUGUGCCUUUAAGACCGGCU